rnacentral:rRNA from 1 species
ACGGGUGAGUAAUGUCUGGGAAACUGCCUGAUGGAGGGGGAUAACUACUGGAAACGGUAGCUAAUACCGCAUAACGUCGCAAGACCAAAGAGGGGGACCUUCGGGCCUCUUGCCAUCAGAUGUGCCCAGAUGGGAUUAGCUAGUAGGUGGGGUAACGGCUCACCUAGGCGACGAUCCCUAGCUGGUCUGAGAGGAUGACCAGCCACACUGGAACUGAGACACGGUCCAGACUCCUACGGGAGGCAGCAGUGGGGAAUAUUGCACAAUGGGCGCAAGCCUGAUGCAGCCAUGCCGCGUGUAUGAAGAAGGCCUUCGGGUUGUAAAGUACUUUCAGCGGGGAGGAAGGUGUUGAGGUUAAUAACCUCAGCAAUUGACGUUACCCGCAGAAGAAGCACCGGCUAACUCCGUGCCAGCAGCCGCGGUAAUACGGAGGGUGCAAGCGUUAAUCGGAAUUACUGGGCGUAAAGCGCACGCAGGCGGUCUGUCAAGUCGGAUGUGAAAUCCCCGGGCUCAACCUGGGAACUGCAUUCGAAACUGGCAGGCUAGAGUCUUGUAGAGGGGGGUAGAAUUCCAGGU